rnacentral:rRNA from 1 species
GGAGUAAUUYUAAACGGCCGCGGAAUUUUAACCGUGCUAAGGUAGCAUAAUCAUUUGUCUUUUAAUUAAAGACUUGUAUGAAUGGUUUAAUGAAAUAAAGCUAUCUCUAAAAUAUUAAAUAAAAAUUAUUUUUAAAGUGAAAAAUCUUUAAUAAAAUAAAAAGACAAAAAGACCCUAUAGAGUUUAAUUUAUCUGUAUAGACACAUAUAUAUAUAUAAAUUUAGUUGGGGCAACUAAUGAAAAAAAAAAUUUCUUUUAAAAAAAAAAAAUAAAAUCAUUAAUUUAAUACUAUAAAACAAAUUACCUUAGGGGUAACAGCGUAAUUUUUUUUAARAGCUCAAAUCGAARAAAAAAAUUAC